UUAGAGAGGAAUCCUUUCCUGUGCUUGAGAAAUUACGACAGCGGGAUUGUCGUUAGCUUGAGGAGAUUCAGCCAAGUUUCGGGGAUAUUUGUUCAUUAAAAAGUAUCGAACUGAAGUGGAGCCCUCAACUUGUAGAAUCUGCUCUGAAGAUUAAGCAAGAUGUUGAAGAUAUGAUGGGGGAUAUUCAGGUCCUUGUUUAUAACUGAUCAAGUUUUGAGCAUUUUUACCUUGGGAAAAUAGGUGAGUACAGACGAAUUUAUUACCUCCUCAUUUUCAGUAUAAGUGGCAGAGUUUGACCAGUGUAAUUUUCUUUUGCAGAGUUUGACGAGUUGUUUGCAUAUCAUAUGUUACUGCUCAAGUCCAAAAACAUAUGAUGGAAUAAUUCUUUUGGAAGUUGAUUUGGAGGAUAGCAAGAAGUGAAACAAAAGGUGGGCAACCUCUGUACUAUAUGAAAGUUAUCUUAUACCUCAGAUUUUUCAAGUUUUUAUAUAUCUUUCAACAAAUACCUUCACAAUCAGCUCAUCGGCGCAUAGAGUUUUAGUUGUGAUGCAGGCUGGUGGAAUUCACACGCACCAAGAAUCAGCCCAUCGACGCAUUUGGAGUUGGAGGCUGCUGUAUCAUGAUCGAGAUGUGAAUUCAAUUUAAGUCAGAGUGUAUAUAAUAUAGGCAAGUACAGUGAUGAAGAAGUUGUGAAUACAAUGCCAUUCUCCUCAUCUCUUUCACCAAUCUUUCAAAUGCUACCCACUGAGGGCUCAAAUUUUUAAAAGCAGAAUAAUGGGUGUAAUGCCACUUCCAUUAUUACUAUUCAGCACUAUGUGGGAUUAUACUAGGUCAAAAUAAUUUGAAUUCCUUUAUUUUCCGUAAAGAAGAGGACGUGAUGAGGGUUAUAGUAUUAAGUUAUGACAAUUUAUGUGAUCCCUUAAAGUCGUGCUUGGUUCACCUUGCAUGUUUUCCGGAGGACGAAGUAAUUCCUGUCCGUAAUUUGGAAAUUUUAUGGCCUGCUGAAGGAUUUUUGGAGCAGAGAGAGAAGAAUAGUGUGGAAGAAGUGGUUGCGAUUUAUCUGGAUAAUUUAAUUUCCAGUAGCUUGGUAAUUUCUUUCGAUAAAAUAGGUGACAAUCGGACUUGCCAAAUUCAUGAUCUUGUGCAUGAGUUUUGUUUGAUAAAAGCAAGAGAGGAAAAGUUAUUUGACUUGAUAAGUUCAAGUGCUCCAUCAUCAUCUUCUUCAGAUUUGAUGCCACGUCAAAUGAACAUUGCAUAUAGUAAGUGGCAUAACAACAGGCAUUCUGGUAAACACCUUUAUUCUUUGAGGAUAACUGGACACAAGUUUGGUGACAAUAGUCUUAAUGAUAUAUGUCACCUAAGACACUUGAGGCUUCUUAGAGUGUUGCAACUGGAUGACUCUUCAAUUCUGUUGAGUGAUUCUUUGUUGAAUGAAAUAUGCAGACUGGUUCAUUUGAGAUACUUAGAGAUUCGCACAGAAGUUAAAUCUCUGCCUUCGUCGUUUUCAAAUCUCUUGAAUCUGGAAACUCUGUGGGUGAAUAAAUAUGGACCACCCAUGGUAUUAUUACCAACAAUUUGGAAUCUUAUAAAGUUGCGAGUGCUGGCUAUAUAUAAAUGUUUCUUCUUUGUUUUGUAUAAGAAUGAGUCAAUACUGGUUGCAGAGAACUCAAAGUCAGAGAGCUUGAGAUUAUUACGGGGACUCGAAGUUUCCUAUUCAAAAGACACGGAGGAUAUUUUCAAAAGGUUUCCCAAUCUUCACAAGCUUCGAUUUGAUCUCAAGGAAUCAUGGGAUUGUUCAACAGGGCGAUAUCGGUUCCCGAAAUUGGACUUCUUAAAUGAACUAGAAUCUCUCGAAGUAACUUUUAUAAGUUCAAAUUCAAAUGAUAGUGCGCUCUCUAUAGCGACAAAUCGGCUUUGGGAUUUUCAUUUCCCUUCGAGUGUAAAAAUGUUGUGUUUGCGUGAGUUUCCUCUGACAUCCGAUUCACUAUCAACAAUUGGAAUACUGUCCAACCUUGAAGAGCUGUACCUUAAAGACACAAUCAUCGAGGGGGAAGAAUGGAACAUGGGGGAGGAAGACACCUUCCAGAAUCUCAAAUGUUUGACAUUGCAGCGAGUGAAUCUUGCUAAGUGGGAGGUUAGAGAGGAAUCCUUUCCUGUGCUUGAGAAAUUACGACAGCGGGAUUGUCGUUAGCUUGAGGAGAUUCAGCCAAGUUUCGGGGAUAUUUGUUCAUUAAAAAGUAUCGAACUGAAGUGGAGCCCUCAACUUGUAGAAUCUGCUCUGAAGAUUAAGCAAGAUGUUGAAGAUAUGAUGGGGGAUAUUCAGGUCCUUGUUUAUAACUGAUCAAGUUUUGAGCAUUUUUACCUUGGGAAAAUAGGUGAGUACAGACGAAUUUAUUACCUCCUCAUUUUCAGUAUAAGUGGCAGAGUUUGACCAGUGUAAUUUUCUUUUGCAGAGUUUGACGAGUUGUUUGCAUAUCAUAUGUUACUGCUCAAGUCCAAAAACAUAUGAUGGAAUAAUUCUUUAGGAAGUUGAUUUGGAGGAUUGCAAGAAGUGAAACAAAAGGUGGGCAACCUCUGUACUAUAUGAAAGUUAUCUUAUAUCUCAGAUUUUUCAAGUUUUUAUAUAUCUUUCAACAAAUACCUUCACAAUCAGCUCAUCGGCGCAUAGAGUUUUAGUUGUGAUGCAGGCUGGUGGAAUUUGGACAAGAGGGGUUGCUCUGAUGGUAAGAAACCCCCACUUCCAACCGAGAGGUUGUGAGUUCGAGUCUCCGAAAGAGCAAGGUGGGAAGUUUCUUGGAGGGAAAGAUGCUGGGGGUCUAUUUGGAAACAGCCUCUCUACCCCAGGGUAGAGGUAAGGUCUGAGUACAUACUACCCUCCCCAGACCCCACUAUGUGGGAUUAUACUAGGUCAAAAUAAUUUGAAUUCCUUUAUUUUCCGAAAAGAAGAGGACAUGAUGAGGGUUAUAGCAUUAAGUUAUUACAAUUUACGUGAUCCCUUGAAGUCG
rnacentral:lncRNA from 1 species